rnacentral:sRNA from 1 species
UGAAAUCCACAUUAAAUGUGGAAUGGGGU